rnacentral:tRNA from 1 species
UCCCGUAUGGCGCAGUGGUAGCGCGUCCCACUUGUACGUCAAGGUGAUGGGGAGGUCAGUCGUUCAACCCGGCUUGCGGGAA